UGAGGAACAUGACCUUCGGCGGGGGAUAGCCGGCCCAACGGCCGGGUAAUACCGCGUACGACCUUCGGANGGCCNGCCGNGUGAGA
rnacentral:rRNA from 1 species